rnacentral:tRNA from 1 species
GGUAGCUAUGAUGUAAUGGUAAGCAUAGCGCGCUGUGAAUGCGUUCGUAAGGGUUCAAAUCCCUUUAGUUACCA